UACAGAGGUCUCAAGCGUUGUUCGGAUUCAUUGGGCGUAAAGGGUGCGUAGGCGGCGCGGUAAGUCGGGUGUGAAAUCUCGGAGCUUAACUUCGAAACUGCAUUCGAUACUGCCGUGCUUGAGGACUGGAGAGGAGACUGGAAUUUACGGUGUAGCGGUGAAAUGCGUAGAUAUCGUAAGGAAGACCAGUGGCGAAGGCGGGUCUCUGGACAGUUCCUGACGCUGAGGCACGAAGGCCAGGGAGCAAACGGG
rnacentral:rRNA from 1 species